rnacentral:rRNA from 1 species
UACGAAGGGGGCUAGCGUUGCUCGGAAUCACUGGGCGUAAAGCGCACGUAGGCGGCUUUCUAAGUCAGGUGUGAAAUCCUGGAGCUCAACUCCAGAACUGCCUUUGAUACUGGAGAGCUAGAGUCCGGAAGAGGUGAGUGGAACUGCGAGUGUAGAGGUGAAAUUCGUAGAUAUUCGCAAGAACACCAGUGGCGAAGGCGGCUCACUGGUCCGGUACUGACGCUGAGGUGCGAAAGCGUGGGGAGCAAACAGG